AAAGUGAAGAAGCAGGAGGAAGAGUUAGCAACGGCAUUGAUCUUUUACAAUAUUUAAUGAGAUGUGGGAUUGAGAUUUGUUUCUGAUAUGUAAUAUCAACAUUUUCCUGUAGGCUAAGAUAAACAUUGGCCUUUUUCUCUGUGUUGGCUUGCAGUUUGAAGUGUCAGAAUCAAAUUAAUCAGCUAUUGGAUCGAGUUUCUCCGGCAACAUCCACAUUUUCAAUGGUAUGCUGCUUUCAAACUUUAAAGAAGAGUAUCUCUGUUUCUGAACUCUGUUUUUUUACUUAGACUUGCACUAUUUAGGUGCAUUGCAUGAUAUUUAUAUGAUAAUAGUUAUUGUUGCACUAAUGAAGUGAAUGAGCGGUCACAUUGUCGUUCUCUAAGACAUUAGAGAUAAUGUUUGUUGGUUUUUUAAUCUAUUUUGUACUCAAAGAGAUGACAAGAUGAGCACAAAUGUAGAUGUUUUUCCUUCAUUAGAUUGUAUUAAAGAUGUAAAAGGAUAAAGGAAAGGCUUUGUUACCUUCUGAUUGUGGAGUUAAUGAAUAUUAUGCCCAUGAUCUUCACUGAUUAUCUAGAUUUGCCCAGCCAUGAUCUCACCUAGCAUUUGAUAAAAAUAGAUUUAAAAUACCACCAGACUGACUUUGGUUUCCAAUCUAGCUAGUUCAAAGUUGUGCAUUUUAUUUGAAUUUAUGAUAUUUAUUACUUGCACAAAUGUAUUUUAUAUGCAUGUAUGUGUAGUGUAAUGAAUAUAUUUCUUUUGAGUUGAUUUGUGUGGAGCUUUAUGAUGUUGGAAAUUUGUCUUGUUUGUGAUUAUAGAUGGCACUGUAAUGGUACAUUUGAUGUACGCAAUAGAACUGGAGGUUGUUUUGGAACCAUGAGGUUCCAUACUGAGCUGGCUCAUGGAGCCAACAAUGGCAUUGACAUUGCUUUUAGGUUCUUGUAGCCCAUUAGGGAGCAAUUCUCUUUCCUUUAUCUUACUGAUUUCUAUCAAGAAGUUUAUUGAUUUAGAAUGUUUAUAUUACGUAAUUUGUUUGGUUUGCUUUAUUAAAUAUAUAUAUUUUUUAGAGAAAUUGGAUUAUUUUCAUCCUCAUCUUGCACAUAGUUGGCUGCUGGUGUUGUUGAAGUUACUGGAGUACGUAAAAUUCCAAUCCAUCUAGGAAGGCUGGUUAGUAUUUUUUUUUUCCCACUCAAGUGAUGCAUUUAACAAUUUUAUGUUUAUAAUCUGCAUGUACAAAUUGUGAUAUGCACAUUUUUUGAGUUAUUAUGUUGUCUAUUCAUUAUUAAGAAGCCAUGUUUUAGAAUGUGGUAUAGCUUGUGUGGUUGUAAAGAGUAAGACACAAUUUAUCCCUUUAUGAAUUUAAAUGUCUAUUCAUUUUUUGCAUUUGAACUUCGUCUUAAAUUUGUAGUCACAUACAACUUGUAAGAAUUGAACCUAGAUGUUUUGCAUCAUUAUUUAUGAUAUGAGAUAUUUGAUAUAUUUUUCCUCUAAAUAAUAUUUUAUUACUUUUUAUAUGUUCAUCUUUGACUAAAGUUUUGGAGCUUGUCCUUUCAGGAAUCCUCAUUUAACCAAAUAACAAAUUGUGGUUGAGCUGAAAGUAUAUCUUGGAGUCAAGAAAGUUAUUUGAUUGUCCUGUGAAUUAGUAGUUAUUUAUUCAGUCUUUGGAUUUGAUUUUCUUCUUUUUAGGUUUGGUGAACUACACUAAGUAGUUCAUUCAUGAAAUUGUUAGCAUAUAUUUUAUUGGUAUUUGUUUUGGUUUUGGAGGUAACCAAGUUUGUAAAUAAUGCUUUGACCUAUAUUUAUUUGAUUGACA
rnacentral:lncRNA from 1 species